rnacentral:snRNA from 1 species
UUUCCGCCCUCGCUCAGGCAGCACAUAUACUAAAAGUACUAAAAGUUGGAAUGAUACAAGGAAGAUUAGCAUGGCCCCUACACAAAGAUGACAUAAAAAUUCAUGAAGAGUUCCAUUAAAAA